rnacentral:rRNA from 1 species
GACGAACGCUGGCGGCGUGCCAAAUACAUGCAAGUCGAGCGCAGGAAACUGACGGAACUCUUCGGAGGGAAGGCAGUGGAAUGAGCGGCGGACGGGUGAGUAACACGUAAGGAACCUGCCUCAAGGAUUGGGAUAACUCCGAGAAAUCGGAGCUAAUACCGGAUAGUUCAUCGGACCGCAUGGUCCGUUGAUGAAAGGCGCUCCGGCGUCACCUUGAGAUGGCCUUGCGGUGCAUUAGCUAGUUGGUGGGGUAACGGCCCACCAAGGCGACGAUGCAUAGCCGACCUGAGAGGGUGAUCGGCCACACUGGGACUGAGACACGGCCCAGACUCCUACGGGAGGCAGCAGUAGGGAAUCUUCCACAAUGGACGAAAGUCUGAUGGAGCAACGCCGCGUGAGUGAUGAAGGUUUUCGGAUCGUAAAACUCUGUUGUAAGGGAAGAACACGUACGAGAGGGAAUGCUCGUACCUUGACGGUACCUUACGAGAAAGCCACGGCUAACUACGUGCCAGCAGCCGCCGUAA